UACGUAGGUGGCAAGCGUUGUCCGGAAUUAUUGGGCGUAAAGCGCGCGCAGGCGGUCCUUUAAGUCUGAUGUGAAAGCCCACGGCUCAACCGUGGAGGGUCAUUGGAAACUGGAGGACUUGAGUACAGAAGAGGAAAGCGGAAUUCCACGUGUAGCGGUGAAAUGCGUAGAUAUGUGGAGGAACACCAGUGGCGAAGGCGACUCUCUGGUCUGUAACUGACGCUGAGGCGCGAAAGCGUGGGGAGCAAACAGG
rnacentral:rRNA from 1 species